UACGUAGGGUGCGAGCGUUGUCCGGAAUUAUUGGGCGUAAAGGGCGCGUAGGCGGUGCGGUAAGUCUGUAGUGAAAUCUCUGGGCUCAACUCAGAGUCUGCUGCAGAAACUGCCGUGCUUGAGUGUGGGAGAGGUGAGUGGAAUUCCCGGUGUAGCGGUGAAAUGCGCAGAUAUCGGGAGGAACACCUGUGGCGAAAGCGGCUCACUGGACCACAACUGACGCUGAGGCGCGAAAGCUAGGGGAGCAAACAGG
rnacentral:rRNA from 1 species